AGUGAACGCUGGCGGCAGGCCUAACACAUGCAAGUCGAACGGCAGCACAGGAGAGCUUGCUCUCUGGGUGGCGAGUGGCGGACGGGUGAGGAAUAUAUCGGAAUCUACCCUUUCGUGGGGGAUAACGUAGGGAAACUUACGCUAAUACCGCAUACGAACUGAGGUUGAAAGCGGCGGACCGCAAGGCGUCGCGCGGAUGGAUGAGCCGAUAUCCGAUUAGCUAGUUGGCGGGGUAAAAGCCCACCAAGGCGACGAUCGGUAGCUGGUCUGAGAGGAUGAUCCGCCACACUGGAACUGAGACACGGUCCAGACUCCUACGGGAGGCAGCAGUGGGGAAUAUUGGACAAUGGGCGCAAGCCUGAUCCAGCCAUGCCGCGUGUGUGAAGAAGGCCUUCGGGUUGUAAAGCACUUUUGUUGGGAAAGAAAAGCGGUCGGUUAAUACCCGGUCGUUCUGACGGUACCCAAAGAAUAAGCACCGGCUAACUUCGUGCCAGCCGCCGCUGUAA
rnacentral:rRNA from 1 species